ACGGGUGAGUAACACGUGGGAACGUACCCUUUGGUUCGGAAUAACUCAGGGAAACUUGAGCUAAUACCGGAUAAGCCCUUAUGGGGAAAGAUUUAUCGCCGAAGGAUCGGCCCGCGUCCGAUUAGCUAGUUGGUGAGGUAACGGCUCACCAAGGCGACGAUCGGUAGCUGGUCUGAGAGGAUGAUCAGCCACACUGGGACUGAGACACGGCCCAGACUCCUACGGGAGGCAGCAGUGGGGAAUAUUGGACAAUGGGGGCAACCCUGAUCCAGCCAUGCCGCGUGAGUGAUGAAGGCCCUAGGGUUGUAAAGCUCUUUCGGCGGGGACGAUAAUGACGGUACCCGCAGAAGAAGCCCCGGCUAACUUCGUGCCAGCAGCCGCGGUAAUACGAAGGGGGCUAGCGUUGCUCGGAAUCACUGGGCGUAAAGCGCACGUAGGCGGAUCUUUAAGUCAGGGGUGAAAUCCCGAGGCUCAACCUCGGAACUGCCUUUGAUACUGGGGAUCUCGAGUCCGGAAGAGGUUGGUGGAACUCCGAGUGUAGAGGUGAAAUUCGUAGA
rnacentral:rRNA from 1 species